GGGCCUGUGGUCUAGCGGUUACAAUGCCGCAAAUGACAACACCCUUACACGGUGUAGGUCACCAGUUCGAAUCUGGUCGGGCCCA
rnacentral:tRNA from 1 species